rnacentral:rRNA from 1 species
UACGAAGGGGGCUAGCGUUGUUCGGAAUUACUGGGCGUAAAGGGCUCGUAGGCGGCCAACUAAGUCGGCCGUGAAAUCCCCAGGCUCAACCUGGGAACUGCGUCCGAUACUGGAUGGCUUGAAUCCGGGAGAGGGAUGCAGAAUUCCAGGUGUAGCGGUGAAAUGCGUAGAUAUCUGGAGGAAUACCGGUGGCGAAGGCGGCAUCCUGGACCGGCAUUGACGCUGAGGAGCGAAAGCCAGGGGAGCAAACGGG